GGUGUACCAGGUCCAAAUGGAGAUUGGUGAAUCGGCAGACGGUAAUGAAGAUGAUGAUGAAGAUGUUUCCAGCUCAGUGUUAUGAUGUCACAGGAGCUUCAGGCGCUAGGACCCGUCAGCCUCUGGGAUGAAGUCUUUGUCUCCUCCUCCUCCUCCUCUCUGUCUCCCUCUGUCUCCCUCUCUCUCCCCCCUCACUCCUCCUCUCACUCCUCCUCCCUCGCUCCGUGUCUCUCUCCAUCAGCAGAGGUCUGGAUGUGUGCUCAGACUCCAACAUGGCUGUGAAUCUCGGCAAGAACAGACUGGCCCUGCUCACCUCCUACCAGGACGUCAUCGACGAGACCUCCGACACCGACUGGUGAGUCUCUUCUCCGGCCUCGGCCUCCGCUCUGCUCCGCUCUGCCGCGGUGCGGAGCUGCUCCGUGGAGCCGCUGUUGUGCGGGUUUGUCCGGGCUGAGGAUGCGCAGGACAGGGUGCACCUUCAUCAUCCUCAUCUUCGUCAUCUUCCUCAUCGUCUUCAUCACGCUCAGUUUGACUUUGUGUUUCAGAAGCUUCUGCAUGAAACUGUUCCACUGAGUUUAUGAAGCAGAAAUCAGCUGCAGAGUCAGUGUGUGUGUGUGUGUGUGUGUGUGUGUGUGUGCGUGCACGCUGGACCAGUGAUCGUGCACGCGGGUCCGGUGAUCGUGCACGCGGGACCAAUGGCCGUGCACGCGGAACUAGUGAGCGUGCACAGCAGAAAUCUUUGUUUCCUCUGCAG